GAAAGAAAAACGAUAUCUGGAUAUCCAACAACAGCUGACCCAGAAACACCAGAAAUGGCAACGGGAUUCACGUGACGUCCUGCCGUCGAGGAAGUCGUGUGCAAGACAGGCAUAGAGUUCACCUGGACGACGAAAGAAGUACUGGUCAAUCAGUGUAUCUAUCAGUAACCAUGCAGAGGUUAUAAACAUCUGAAAUUAAAUGCAACGGGAACCGAGAGGAGGGAGAGAAGAGCGAAUGGGUGUCAAGAAGUGAGAGAAUCCAUUGCAGAUAGAAAACCAGAACGGCAAGUGCACACUAAAGCGGUUAAUUCCAAGGACAGCUAAGGAAACCAGACCACGAGUACGACCCUGUGGACAGACUAGACCGCUCUCAAACAACUGAGCUCUGCCAAUGACUUGUAGAUCGAAAAAAUAUCGUGAUGAUAUAGAUCUCCCGGGUGAGGCAGCGGCCAGUUCGAUUCGAGACGCGGGUGAUAAUGUGUUAAGUUAAAGGGCUUGUAUUUCCACUCCACAUAUGAGGACCAUAGUUGGAUUUACACGGUAGUCCGAAAUAACUAGAGGGUGGUAAA